rnacentral:rRNA from 1 species
UGAGCAAUCUGCCCUUCUCUUUGGAAUAAGCGUUGGAAACGACGUCUAAUGCCGAAUACGACCUCCUUUCGCAUGAUCGGAGGUGGAAAGCUCCGGCGGAGAAGGAAGAGCUCGCGGCCUAUCAGCUAGUUGGUGUGGGUAAUGGCCCACCAAGGCGACGACGGGUAGCCGGCCUGAGAGGGUGACCGGCCACACUGGGACUGAGACACGGCCCAGACUCCUACGGGAGCAGCAGG